GCCUUUGUGGUGUAGUGGUCAACACGCUCGGCGUAUUCGAGAGGUCCGUGGUUCGAUUCCCGGCUAGGGCA
rnacentral:tRNA from 1 species